rnacentral:tRNA from 2 species
GCAGAUAUAGUUUAAUAAAAAUGUUGGAUUGUGAUUCCAAAGAUAGAGGUUAAACCCCACUUAUCCGCC